UACGUAGGGUGCAAGCGUUAAUCGGAAUACUGGGCGUAAAGCGUGCGCAGGGCGGCUUUGCAAGACAGAUGGUGAAAUCCCCGGGCUCAACCUGGGAACUGCAUUGUGACUGCAUGGGCUGGAGUGCGGCAGAGGGGGAUGGAAUUCCGCGUGUAAGCAGUGAAAUGCGUAGAUAUGCGGAGGAACACCGGAUGGCGAAGGCAAUCCCCUGGGCCUGCACUGACGCUCAUGCACGGAAAGCGUGGGGAGCAAACAGG
rnacentral:rRNA from 1 species